rnacentral:rRNA from 1 species
GAUGAACGCUGGCGGCGUGCCUAACACAUGCAAGUCGAACGUGAAGCUUGGUACUUGUAUCAGGCUGAAAGAGGCGAACGGGUGAGUAACACGUUGGUGACCUGCCCCGAGGAGAGGGAUAACUCCUUGAAAGAGGAGCUAAUACCUCAGAUGACUGGACUGUUAGAGGGUCCAGCCUAAAGCUUUGGCGUCUCGGGAGGGGCCUGCGGGCUAUCAGCUAGUUGGUGGGGUAAGAGCCUACCAAGGCGAAGACGGCUAGGGGGCGUGAGAGCGUGACCCCCCACAAGGGAACUGAGAAACGGUCCCUACUCCUACGGGAGGCAGCAGUGAGGAAUAUUGAGCAAUGGGCGCAAGCCUGACUCAGCAACGCCGCGUGGAUGAAGAAGGCCUUCGGGUUGUAAAAUCCUUUUCUGAGGGACGAUAAUGACGGUACCUCAGGAAUAAGUUCCGGCUAACUACGUGCCAGCAGCCGCGGUAAAACGUAGGGGACAAGCGUUAUCCGGAUUUACUGGGCGUAAAGCGCCCGUAGGCGGCUUAACAAGUUGGAUGUGAAAGCUCCCGGCUUAACUGGGAGAGGUCAUUCAAAACUGUUAGGCUAGAGGAUGGAAGAGGAGAGCGGAAUUCCCGGUGUAGUGGUGGAAUGCGUAGAGAUCGGGAGGAACACCAGUGGCGAAAGCGGCUCUCUGGUUCACACCUGACGCUGAGGGGCGAAAGCGUGGGGAGCG